CCCUUAGAUGUUCUGGGCUGCACCCGUGCUACACUGGCAGGUUCAGCGAGCUCCAUGCCCUGAUCUGAAAGGAAUGGGAAAUCUUUUCAAAACCUGCCGUGCUUGGGAUAGAUGUUUGCAAUUAUUCAUCUUCAACGAGGAUUGCCUUGCAAGCGCACGUCAUCAGCGUGCAUUGAAUACGACCCUGUAUUCUGUACACACCGCCCGUCGCUCCUACCGAUUGAAGUUUUCGGUGAGUUGACAGGAGGAUUUUUUUGAAACUGGUUCGCCAGUGGAUUUUAGAUCCAAACGCCAACGAAUCGAUGGCUUUAGAGGAAGGAGAAGUCGUAACA
rnacentral:rRNA from 1 species